UGUGGCUGUAUCUAGAGGGCUGACUGGAAUUAUAUCAGCUGGGUGAACAGCAUUGGUAGGGAGCUGCACCGUCCAGUUGUAAGGGAAGAGAGAACAAAAGGGCAGGUUCCGGGAUGAAGGGAUGUAUGAAGUGAUGAGAGGGACCACACGCAGCAAUGGGUUCCGGGAAGAACAGCUGCCUGCAGAGCUGAAUCGGGAUGAGGUGUGGAGCAGGCUGGGCCACUGGAGGGAGCUCGCCUUCGCUGAACUCCUAGCUGCAUUGUCACCUGCGCACCUAGCUCAGGCAAUUGCACUCACGAACUCCUGACGGUUGUGAUUCCCUACACAAGACCUGUACAGCAUCAGCGUAGUAGACACUUGAUCAUGGGCAGAAGGCGUCUCACAAGCUCUCACUUCCAGAUGACAAACCAGAGAGUUGACAGCUGCCAAGGAGAAAGUCAGCUUUGUUCAAGGGUAUGGCCUGUGCAUGUUGUCUGUGUUACAUGGACAGUCAGUCAUACAUCCAAAUGCAUUCACAUGUGUUCAAGUGUCCUAACUGGACCCAAGAAAGGCUAUGUGGCUAAAGGGGAAUAAAGAAUGUGUUUGAGUGAAGUAAAUUACAUUCUGUAGGAAGGAAAAAAUUAACAGUAUGGGCUGGAAAGAUGGCUCAGGAGUUAAGAGCGCUUGUUGCUCUUCCACAGAACCUGAGUUCAAAUCCCAGCAAAUGAAUUAGGUGACUCACAACUGCCUGUAACUAUAGCUCCAAAGGAUAGUGUGUGUGUGUCUGUGUGUCUGUGUGUCUGUGUGUGUGCAUGUGCGUGUGCAUGUGUGUGUCUGUGUGUAUGCGUGUGUGUGCGCACACACACACACACAUAAACAAAAACGGUAAAUCCUUGAGAAAACCUUGUAUAAUAAUUAAAUUUAAAUUUAAAAGCAGGAAGUGGCGUGCAACUUCUGAGAGGAAUGUGUUCUUCAAUGUACAUUUCUGUAAAGUCCACU
rnacentral:lncRNA from 1 species